CACGUGGGUAACCUGCCUCAAGUGGGGGAUAGCCUUCCGAAGGAAGAUGAAUACCGCAUAAAGCCAAGUUUCACAUGGAAUUUGGAUGAAAGGAGUAAUUCGCGGUGAGAUGGACCCGCGGCGCAGGGUUAGUUGGGGGGUAAUGGCCUACCAAGACAGCGAUGCGUAGCCGACCUGAGAGGGUGAUCGGCCACAGGGGAACUGAGAUACGGUCCAGACUCCUACGGGAGGCAGCAGUGGGGAAUAUUGCACAAUGGGCGAAAGCC
rnacentral:rRNA from 1 species